CAUGUACGAAUAGUAGAAGGCAACAUAAAUGAAGACGGAGAUCCAGAGGAUGACAGAACCUAAGAGGAGGACGGCGCCACCCCGGAUAAUUGCUUCUUUGGCGCCGCCGACAGUCGAGUCCAAAGUGCGCUGCGUGAGACCCUGGAUUUUGCGGCUGAUUGUCUCCAUCUUUCACUCUCGUCAGACAAUCCUGAGAUAAAGUACAGUCCGAUUAGCUGCGAUGAAACUACGAGUUCAACGAGUUGUGGAGAAGUGCUGAGAUUAGGAGAGGGGCCAAAUCAUCCAACUACACGACCUUUGUGAGGAGCCGGUCUCUGGCCUCGUCAAUGUCCAUGCAAACGACGGCCUGUUUUGCAUCGUGGAAGGAGGCCAAUGGGUGUUGUCUGCACGGCUCGCACACUCUAACUGGAAAUUCGUGGCCCAGUUCAGGCAUCGUCGUUCGAGAGGACGAACACUUGUCGCAUACAGCCCUGCCACACAACCUGCAGUGGUGCUGGCGCAGACCCAGCUGCUUCUGGUCCAUCAUGGCGCGCACAUUCCAGAAGAAGGGUCGGCCACAACGCUGGCAUGUGUCUGACUCGAACCAAUCAGGAGUCUGGAAAUAAUUCAUAAAUUUAAAUCUUUACUUUAUUUGAUCUUGAAAAUUUUCACACCUCUUUCCUCUUGACCGUCAUGUCCCAGCAAACAAUUUGUGAAUCUUCUCCACCGGAGAAAAGUUGUUGACUGGCAGCGGCAAAAGCAAGAGCAGUCACCUUAUUUCUGUAAAAAAAAAACAUAUCAAUAAUUAACUUGGAUAUUUUAAAAAUCACUUCAUUGGAAAAUCGCCAUUAUAAAUCAUCAUUUUCAUUUUCUUUCAUAAAUUUAUUUUUACUUGUGGCCCUGGAGCUCAUAAGCAGUUCCUUGCUGUCCACCAAUGUCCCAAACAAUCACACUCUGGUCGAAGGAGCCACUGAACAGCAACUUCUUCUCAGCACACCAAGCAAGGGACCUGAUGCUGCCCGAAUGUCCUCUCAGGGUAGUGACGUGCGAAACGCCACCCGAACUGGUCCCAGACCCGUCUCCACUGACGCCACCCAACUUUAGCAUUGCGAUUUCUCCAGAAAAGUCGCCGACAAAGGCAUACUUAGCUUGCGAAUCAAAUCUGUAUGUGUGUUAAGGAAAAUAAUAAUAAUGCCUUACAAAAAUUUACACAAUAACUGAAGAUUAGCAGAAUAAAAGAAGCAGGCAAAAAUAAUUUCCGUUCAUUUGGAAAAGAACUUAUUGUUAGUAGAAACAUUUUUUAGUGAUGUAUUAACUAAUCAGGAGUUGAUAACAUUAACCGUAUUUCAACCCACUUCCUUAAGGAAGAGAAACGCUUUUGAUCUAUAAAAAAAACAAGCAUUUUUUAGUAAAUACCUUGAAAAAUAAAA